rnacentral:rRNA from 1 species
AUUGAACGCUGGCGGCAUGCCUUACACAUGCAAGUCGAACGGCAGCACGGGGCAACCUGGUGGUGAGUGGCGAACGGGUGAGUAAUGCAUCGGAACGUACCUUUCAGUGGGGGAUAACGUAGCGAAAGUUACGCUAAUACCGCAUAUUCUGUGAGCAGGAAAGCAGGGGAUCGCAAGACCUUGCGCUGAUUGAGCGGCCGAUGUCAGAUUAGCUAGUUGGUGAGGUAAAGGCUGACCAAGGCGACGAUCUGUAGCGGGUCUGAGAGGAUGAUCCGCCACACUGGAACUGAGACACGGUCCAGACUCCUACGGGAGGCAGCAGUGGGGAAUUUUGGACAAUGGGGGCAACCCUGAUCCAGCCAUGCCGCGUGAGUGAAGAAGGCCUUCGGGUUGUAAAGCUCUUUCGGCCGGGAAGAAAUCGCACGGGCUAAUACCCUGUGUGGAUGACGGUACCGGAAGAAGAAGCACCGGCUAACUACGUGCCAGCCGCCGCGGUAAAAC